rnacentral:rRNA from 1 species
UACAGAGGUCUCAAGCGUUGUUCGGAUUCAUUGGGCGUAAAGGGCGCGUAGGCGGCCACCGCAAGUCGACUGUGAAAUCUCCGGGCUUAACCCGGAAAGGUCAGCCGAUACUGCGGGGCUAGAGUGCAGAAGGGGCAACUGGAAUUCUCGGUGUAGCGGUGAAAUGCGUAGAUAUCGAGAGGAACACCUGCGGCGAAGGCGGGUUGCUGGGCUGAUACUGACGCUGAGGCGCGAAAGCUAGGGGAGCGAACGGG